rnacentral:rRNA from 1 species
AGUGAACGCUGGCGGUAGGCCUAACACAUGCCAGUCGAACGGCAGCACAGUAAGAGCUUGCUCUUACGGGUGGCGAGUGGCGGACGGGUGAGGAAUACAUCGGAAUCUACUUUUUCGUGGGGGAUAACGUAGGGAAACUUACGCUAAUACCGCAUACGACCUACGGGUGAAAGCAGGGGAUCUUCGGACCUUGCGCGAUUGAAUGAGCCGAUGUCGGAUUAGCUAGUUGGCGGGGUAAAGGCCCACCAAGGCGACGAUCCGUAGCUGGUCUGAGAGGAUGAUCAGCCACACUGGAACUGAGACACGGUCAAGACUCCUACGGGAGGCAGCAGUGGGGAAUAUUGGACAAUGGGCGCAAGCCUGAUACAGCCAUACCGCGUGGGUGAAGAAGGCCUUCGGGUUGUAAAGCCCUUUUGUUGGGAAAGAAAAGCAGCAGGUUAAUACCCCGCUGUUCUGACGGUACCCAAAGAAUAAGCACCGGCUAACUUCGUG